rnacentral:rRNA from 1 species
GAUGAACGCUGGCGGCGUGCCUAAUACAUGCAAGUCGAGCGAAUGGAUUAAGAGCUUGCUCUUAUGAAGUUAGCGGCGGACGGGUGAGUAACACGUGGGUAACCUGCCCAUAAGACUGGGAUAACUCCGGGAAACCGGGGCUAAUACCGGAUAACAUUUUGAACCGCAUGGUUCGAAAUUGAAAGGCGGCUUCGGCUGUCACUUAUGGAUGGACCCGCGUCGCACUAGCUAGUUGGUGAGGUAACGGCUCACCAAGGCAACGAUGCGUAGCCGACCUGAGAGGGGGAUCGGCCACACUGGGACUGAGACACGGCCCAGACCCCUACGGGAGGCAGCAGUAGGGAAUCUUCCGCAAUGGACGAAAGUCUGACGGAGCAACGCCGCGUGAGUGAUGAAGGCUUUCGGGUCGUAAAACUCUGUUGUUAGGGAAGAACAAGUGCUAGUUGAAUAAGCUGGCACCUUGACGGUACCUAACCAGAAAGCCACGGCUAACUACGUGCCAGCCGCCGCGGUAA